GCGAACAAGUCCAAGAAGGUAGCAUAGUUUUAUGGUUGUUCUUCACCAAAGGCAGCGCCAAAGUUAGCGUUGUUGACCCUGGAAGAGGAGAUAAUGUUUGGUACAAGAAUUUCGCAAGAAGAGGUGGACUUACGAUUUAAAAGAAGACAGUCUUGUAGCGAUAACCUCAAACAUGUGGAACUGGGAAGGUCAAAUACUUGUUAAGUUGGAAAAUACAGUCGAGGCUUGAAAGUCAAAUGACAGGCACGGACAUGAUGGAGAUUAACUGGAGAUAAAAAGUCUGCUGAGAGGAGAAUUAAAAGGAUUUUGAGGAGGAGUUUUCUUCAAGCAGUAGCUCGAAGGAUGCAUCCCUUUAGUUUUUCACGUCAAGACUCGAACAAAAGCAAGAAUUAGACGCAAGCGAGAGAUAAGUUUACAGCAAAGGUAAAAAUCGAAUGCAACUAGAUUUUUCUUCAGGCAAAUUAAUU